AUUUCCCUGCUUUGCACGUGAUGGCUUCGGGGGUGCGGUUGAGCCAACGUUACCCUAAAGCGAAUCGCGACACUGCGUGGUGUGCAUGCCUCCGAGCGAGGUAGCCUGAAACGCAGAUGGACCCAGCGAUUCCACCUGUCUACGCGCAGGUUCAUCCGACCUCCCCACACGGCAAAGCGGGGGCCAU
rnacentral:other from 1 species